rnacentral:rRNA from 1 species
UACAGAGGUCUCGAGCGUUAGGCGGAAUCACUGGGCUUAAAGCGUGUGUAGGUGGAUGCCUAAGUACCUUGUGAAAUCCCACGGCUUAACCGUGGAACUGCUUGGUAUACUGCUUAUCUUGGGCCAUCUAGGGGCGAGCGGAACAAACGGUGGAGCGGUGAAAUGCGUAGAUAUCGUUUGGAACGCCAAUGGUGAAAACAGCUCGCUGGGGAUGUGCCGACGCUGAGAUACGAAAGCCAGGGGAGCAAACAGG